ACAAAGGCUCUUUUAAGAGCCACACACUCCUCUGAUGAGCAGCAA
rnacentral:ncRNA from 14 species